AACUCAAGGAGACCUGGCGCCCCCUUCUGGUCUCCACAGGCAUCUACACACGUGCGGCACAAAUAUACACAAACAUGAUACCACACACAUGUGAAAAACACUAAUCUCUUUAAAUUUUCCUACAGCUGGAGUAAUGGGUCACCCGUGAUAUUUCAGAACUGGGACAAAGGAAGGAAAGGAAGAAUGGAUAGCCAGAGAAAGCGAUGCGUCUUCAUGUCUGCUAUAACAGGGCUCUGGGGCACUGAGAAUUGCUCUGUUCCUAUGCCCAGCAUCUGUAAGCGAGUGAAAAUAUGGGUCAUCGAGAAGGAGAAGCCGCCAACACAGCAUGGCACGUGCCCCAAAGGUCCCCAAGGACCCACGGGAGCUGAAGACCUGGACAGGUGCUCAGGAAUUCUGUGCUGCCAAGGGUGGGACGCUGGUCUCCAUCGAAAGUGAACUGGAACAAGCUUUCAUUACUGUGAAUCUUUUCGGCCAGACCACGAAUGUAUGGAUAGGGUUACAAAGUGACAAUCAUGAGAAUUGGGUAAAUGGGAAGCCUGUGGUGUAUUCUAACUGGUCUCCAUCUGAUGUAAUAAAUAUCCCCAAUUAUAACACCACUGAAGUUCAAAAGCGUGCUCCACUCUGUGCCCUGAUGUCAAGUAAUCCUAAUUUCCAUUUUACUGGAAAAUGGUAUUUCGAUGACUGUGGGAAAA
rnacentral:lncRNA from 1 species